UAAAAAGAUGACUGUCCCUCAACCAGAAAGGGACCCUCACCAGACACCAAAUCUGCCAGUGCUUUGAUCUUGGACUUCCCAGCCUCCAGAACUGUGAUAGAUAAGUAAAUGUCUGUUCUUUACAGACAAUAAUAUGGUCUAUAGUAGCCUGUAAGGACUAAGAAAAUGACCUUUUAUAUCUUUCUGAUAUUUGGAUUUACAAGUCUAUCUUGCUGAGAUCAUGAGUUUUAAAUGCUGGCAAAAUGAGUAAUUUUAUACUUUUAUUUUACAAAACCCUAAGCGCCUUUCCCGACACCACUGCUGGUGCAAGUGUGGUCCCCCCCGGGGCAGCAGUCUCCCACCUUCUGAGAACUUGCAAGAUACGUGGAUUCUCAGUCCCCACCCAGACCUGCUGACCAGGCUCUGGAAGCAGGAUCCCUCAAUCUGGGUUUUGGCAAACGCUCCAGGCUCCAGGCAACUCCGACACACUCUCCAGUUGGGAGAACCACUGCUCUACGCUGCAAAGAUUGAAGCUUUGACACCAGUGGCUGUUCUCAUUCUGCACAAUGUGGAAACAUCUCUAGCAAACAAACAAACAACCGCACUUACAGAUGUGUGGUGCAAUCCUGCUGCCCACAGAACAUUCGGGGCCUUAGUGGAACUGCGCUUCCCGCCUGCUCAGUAAGUGACGUCACCUCGCGUC